rnacentral:rRNA from 1 species
UUAUGGCUCAGGAUGAACGCUAGCUACAGGCUUAACACAUGCAAGUCGAGGGUAGCAGGGUAGCAAUACCGCUGACGACCGGCGCACGGUGAGUAACACGUAUCCAACCUUCCCAUAACUCAGGGAUAGCCUUUCGAAAGAAAGAUUAAUACCUGAUAGUACUUUUUCAAGGCAUCUUGAAAAAGUUAAAGAUUUAUUGGUUAUGGAUGGGGAUGCGUUCCAUUAGAUAGUUGGUGAGGUAACGGCUCACCAAGUCUUCGAUGGAUAGGGGUUCUGAGAGGAAGGUCCCCCACAUUGGUACUGAGACACGGACCAAACUCCUACGGGAGGCAGCAGUGAGGAAUAUUGGUCAAUGGGCGAGAGCCUGAACCAGCCAAGUAGCGUGAAAAGGAUGAAGGUCCUAUGGAUUGUAAACUUCUUUUAUAGUAGAAUAAAGUGAGCCACGUGUGGUUUUUUGUAUGUAUACUAUGAAUAAGGAUCGGCUAACUCCGUGCCAGCCGCCGC